GCCAGUACAGUGGUUAUGACACUCGAAUUGUAAUCGAGUGGGCUCGGGUUCGAAACCCGAUUAAGGCA